GGCGGCGUAGCUCAGAUGGUUAGAGCGCGGCACUCAUAACGCCGAGGUCAGUGGUUCAAUCCCACUCGUCGCUA
rnacentral:tRNA from 3 species